GCUGAAGAACGCAGCGAAAUGCGAUACGUAAUGUGAAUUGCAGAAUUCAGUGAAUCAUCGAGUCUUUGAACGCACAUUGCGCCCCCUGGUAUUCCGGGGGGCAUGCCUGUCCGAGCGUCAUUGCUGCCCUCAAGCACGGCUUGUGUGUUGGGCCUCCGUCCUCCUCCCGGGGGACGGGCCCGAAAGGCAGCGGCGGCACCGCGUCCGGUCCUCGAGCGUAUGGGGCUUCGUCACCCGCUCUUGUAGGCCCGGCCGGCGCUUGCCGACACAUCAAUCUUUUUUCCAGGUUGACCUCGGAUCAGGUAGGGAUACCCGCUGAACUUAAGCAUAUCAAUAAGCGGAGGA
rnacentral:misc_RNA from 1 species